rnacentral:rRNA from 1 species
UUGCCUCAGUAACGGCGAGUGAAGCGGCAAUAGCUCAAAUUUGAAAUCUGGCUCUUUCAGGGUCCGAGUUGUAAUUUGCAGAGGGCGCUUUGGAGUCGACAGCAGCCUAAGUUCCUUGGAACAGGUCAUCAUAGAGGGUGAGAAUCCCGUAUGUGGCUGCUUGCCUUCGCCGUGUAAAGCCCCUUCGAUGAGUCGAGUUGUUUGGGAAUGCAGCUCUAAAUGGGAGGUAAAUUUCUUCUAAAGCUAAAUAUUGGCCAGAGACCGAUAGCGCACAAGUAGAGUGAUCGAAAGAUGAAAAGCACUUUGGAAAGAGAGUCAAAAAGCACGUGAAAUUGUUGAAAGGGAAGCGCUUGCAGCCAGACGUGCCCGUAGUUGCUCAUCUGGGGUUCUCCCCAGUGCACUCUUCUAUGGGCAGGCCAGCAUCAGUCCGGGCGGUUGGAGAAAGACCUGUGUCACGUAGCUCUCUUCGGGGAGUGUUAUAGGGCAGGUGGAAUGCAACCAGCCUGGACUGAGGUCCGCGCAUCUGCUAGGAUGCUGGCGUAAUGGCUGUAAGCGGCCCGUCUUGAAACACGGACCAAGGAGUCUAACAUCUAUGCGAGUGUUUGGGUGUCAAGCCCGAGCGCGUAAUGAAAGUGAACGGAGGUGGGAACCCCUCGGGGUGCACCAUCGACCGAUCCUGAUGUCUUCGGAUGGAUUUGAGUAAGAGCAUAGCUGUUGGGACCCGAAAGAUGGUGAACUAUGCCUGAAUAGGGUGAAGCCAGAGGAAACUCUGGUGGAGGCUCGCAGCGGUUCUGACGUGCAAAUCGAUCGUCAAAUUUGGGCAUAGGGGCGAAAGACUAAUCGAACUAUCUAGUAGCUGGUUCCUGCCGAAGUUUCCCUCAGGAUAGCAGUAACGUUUUCAGUUUUAUGAGGUAAAGCGAAUGAUUAGAGGCCUGGGGGUUGAAACAACCUUCACCUAUUCUCAAACUUUAAAUAUGUAAGAAGUCCUUGUUUCUUAAUUGAACGUGGACAU